CGAAAGUCUAUUGCUGAGUCCCAAUUCGCCUACUUAUACUACGACCUAAAAGUAUGUACUUUUUUUGUGAGGAAAAAGUACAUACUUUUGAGUGUGUAGCAAAAGAGUAUGCACGUUCUGGGACAUACUUCGAUGACUUACGCACACCACAACUGUUAACGUUUCAUUCAUUCUUGUAUGUCCAAUAAAAUUUUAUUUACUAUUCCCA